GGCGAACGGGUGAGUAACACGUGGGUGAUCUGCCUUGCACUCUGGGAUAAGCUCGGGAAACUGGGUCUAAUACCGGAUAGGAACCGUCUUUAGUGUGGUGGUUGGAAAGUUUUUUCGGUGCAAGAUGAGCUCGCGGCCUAUCAGCUUGUUGGUGGGGUAAUGGCCUACCAAGGCGUCGACGGGUAGCCGGCCUGAGAGGGUGUACGGCCACAUUGGGACUGAGAUACGGCCCAG
rnacentral:rRNA from 1 species